AAUUCAGAUGGUUAAAGAUGGGCAUGCGUCCCAUUAGCUAGUUGGUGAGGUAACGGCUCACCAAGGCGACGAUGGGUAGGGGUUCUGAGAGGAUGAUCCCCCACACUGGUACUGAGACACGGACCAGACUCCUACGGGAGGCAGCAGUAAGGAAUAUUGGUCAAUGGACGCAAGUCUGAACCAGCCAUGCCGCGUGCAGGAAGACGGCCCUAUGGGUUGUAAACUGCUUUUGUACGGGAAGAACAGCGUCUACGUGUAGAUGUUUGACGGUACCGUAAGAAUAAGGAUCGGCUAACUCCGUGCCAGCAGCCGCGGUAAUACGGAGGAUCCGAGCGUUAUCCGGAUUUAUUGGGUUUAAAGGGUGCGCAGGCGGGUAUAUAAGUCAGAGGUGGAAUUCCACGGCUCAACUGUGGGACUGCCUUUGAUACUGCAUAUCUAGAGUAUAUUUGGAGUGGGCGGAAUGUAGCAUGUAGCGGUGAAAUGCUUAGAUAUGCUACAGAACACCGAUCGUGAAGACAGCUCACUAAACUAUAACUGACGCUCAGGCACGAAAGCGUGGGGAGCAAACAGGAUUAGAUACCCUGGUAGUCCACGCUGUAAACGAUGAUUACUCGCUGUUGGCGAUACACAGUCAGCGGCUAAGCGAAAGUGAUAAGUAAUCCACCUGGGGAGUACGAU
rnacentral:rRNA from 1 species